AAUCAACGCUGGCGGCGCGCUUAACACAUGCAAGUCGCACGAGAAAGGGAGCAAUCCUGAGUAAAGUGGCGUACGGGUGAGUAACACGUGGGAAUCUACCUCUUGGCGGGGAAUAACCCUGGGAAACCGGGGCUAAUACCGCAUAAGCUCGUGAGAGGAAAGCAGCAAUGCACCGAGAGAGGAGCCCGCGGCCGAUUAGCUAGUUGGUGGGGUAAUGGCUCACCAAGGCGAAGAUCGGUAGCCGGCCUGAGAGGGCACACGGCCACACUGGCACUGAAACACGGGCCAGACUCCUACGGGAGGCAGCAGUGGGGAAUCUUGCACAAUGGGGGAAACCCUGAUGCAGCGACGCCGCGUGAGCGAUGAAGCCCUUCGGGGUGUAAAGCUCUUUCGACAGGAACGAUAAUGACGGUACCUGGAGAAGAAGCUGCGGCUAACUACGU
rnacentral:rRNA from 1 species